AGAGUUUGAUCCUGGCUCAGGACGAACGCUGGCGGCGUGCCUAAUACAUGCAAGUCGAGCGGACAGAUGGGAGCUUGCUCCCUGAUGUUAGCGGCGGACGGGUGAGUAACACGUGGGUAACCUGCCUGUAAGACUGGGAUAACUCCGGGAAACCGGGGCUAAUACCGGAUGGUUGUUUGAACCGCAUGGUUCAAACAUAAAAGGUGGCUUCGGCUACCACUUACGGAUGGACCCGCGGCGCAUUAGCUAGUUGGUGAGGUAACGGCUCACCAAGGCGACGAUGCGUAGCCGACCUGAGAGGGUGAUCGGCCACACUGGGACUGAGACACGGCCCAGACUCCUACGGGAGGCAGCAGUAGGGAAUCUUCCGCAAUGGACGAAAGUCUGACGGAGCAACGCCGCGUGAGUGAUGAAGGUUUUCGGAUCGUAAAGCUCUGUUGUUAGGGAAGAACAAGUGCCGUUCGAAUAGGGCGGUACCUUGACGGUACCUAACCAGAAAGCCACGGCUAACUACGUGCCAGCAGCCGCGGUAAUACGUAGGUGGCAAGCGUUGUCCGGAAUUAUUGGGCGUAAAGGGCUCGCAGGCGGUUUCUUAAGUCUGAUGUGAAAGCCCCCGGCUCAACCGGGGAGGGUCAUUGGAAACUGGGGAACUUGAGUGCAGAAGAGGAGAGUGGAAUUCCACGUGUAGCGGUGAAAUGCGUAGAGAUGUGGAGGAACACCAGUGGCGAAGGCGACUCUCUGGUCUGUAACUGACGCUGAGGAGCGAAAGCGUGGGGAGCGAACAGGAUUAGAUACCCUGGUAGUCCACGCCGUAAACGAUGAGUGCUAAGUGUUAGGGGGUUUCCGCCCCUUAGUGCUGCAGCUAACGCAUUAAGCACUCCGCCUGGGGAGUACGGUCGCAAGACUGAAACUCAAAGGAAUUGACGGGGGCCCGCACAAGCGGUGUAGCAUGUGGUUUAAUUCGAAGCAACGCGAAGAACCUUACCAGGUCUUGACAUCCUCUGACAAUCCUAGAGAUAGGACGUCCCCUUCGGGGGCAGAGUGACAGGUGGUGCAUGGUUGUCGUCAGCUCGUGUCGUGAGAUGUUGGGUUAAGUCCCGCAACGAGCGCAACCCUUGAUCUUAGUUGCCAGCAUUCAGUUGGGCACUCUAAGGUGACUGCCGGUGACAAACCGGAGGAAGGUGGGGAUGACGUCAAAUCAUCAUGCCCCUUAUGACCUGGGCUACACACGUGCUACAAUGGACAGAACAAAGGGCAGCGAAACCGCGAGGUUAAGCCAAUCCCACAAAUCUGUUCUCAGUUCGGAUCGCAGUCUGCAACUCGACUGCGUGAAGCUGGAAUCGCUAGUAAUCGCGGAUCAGCAUGCCGCGGUGAAUACGUUCCCGGGCCUUGUACACACCGCCCGUCACACCACGAGAGUUUGUAACACCCGAAGUCGGUGAGGUAACCUUUUAGGAGCCAGCCGCCGAAGGUGGGACAGAUGAUUGGGGUGAAGUCGGAACAAGGUA
rnacentral:rRNA from 1 species